AUUGAACGCUGGCGGCAGGCUUAACACAUGCAAGUCGCGCGAGCGGCGGACGGGUGAGUAAUGUCUGGGUAACUGCCUGAUGGAGGGGGAUAACUACUGGAAACGGUAGCUAAUACCGCAUACCAUCAGAUGUGCCCAGAUGGGAUUAGCUAGUAGGUGGGGUAAUGGCUCACCUAGGCGACGAUCCCUAGCUGGUCUGAGAGGAUGACCAGCCACACUGGAACUGAGACACGGUCCAGACUCAUACGGGAGGCAGCAGGGGGGAAUAGUGGACAAUGGGCGCAAGCCUGAUGCAGCCAUGCCGCGUGUAUGAAGAAGGCAUUAGGGUGGUAAAGUACUUUCAGCGGGGAGGAGUUACCCGCAGAAGAAGCACCGGCUAACUCCGUGCCAGCAGCCGCGGUAAUAC
rnacentral:rRNA from 1 species